rnacentral:rRNA from 1 species
UACGAAGGUGGCAAGCGUUGUUCGGAUUUACUGGGCGUAAAGGGCGCGUAGGCGGCCACCGCAAGUCGACUGUGAAAUCUCCGGGCUUAACCCGGAAAGGUCAGCCGAUACUGCGGGGCUAGAGUGCAGAAGGGGCAACUGGAAUUCUCGGUGUAGCGGUGAAAUGCGUAGAUAUCGAGAGGAACACCUGCGGCGAAGGCGGGUUGCUGGGCUGACACUGACGCUGAUGCGCGAAAGCUAGGGGAGCGAACGGG